UGUUAUAAAAGGCAAAGCCGCGGAAACGCGGGGACGCAAAGCCUACGGGUCCUGCCCAAAACGGAGGAUGGCUGGGUUGCUGAC
rnacentral:ncRNA from 1 species